UAGGGAAUCUUCCACAAUGGACGCAAGUCUGAUGGAGCGACGCCGCGUGAGUGAAGAAGGUCUUCGGAUCGUAAAACUCUGUUGUUAGAGAAGAACACGAGUGAGAGUAACUGUUCAUUCGAUGACGGUAUCUAACCAGCAAGUCACGGCUAACUACGUGCCAA
rnacentral:rRNA from 1 species